UAGGGAAUCUUCCACAAUGGACGCAAGUCUGAUGGAGCAACGCCGCGUGAGUGAAGAAGGUUUUCGGAUCGUAAAGCUCUGUUGUUGGUGAAGAAGGAUAGAGGCAGUAACUGGUCUUUAUUUGACGGUAAUCAACCAGAAAGUCACGGCUAACUACGUGCCAGCAGCCGCGGUAAUACGUAGGUGGCAAGCGUUGUCCGGAUUUAUUGGGCGUAAAGCGAGCGCAGGCGGAAUGAUAAGUCUGAUGUGAAAGCCCACGGCUCAACCGUGGAACUGCAUCGGAAACUGUCAUUCUUGAGUGCAGAAGAGGAGAGUGGAAUUCCAUGUGUAGCGGUGGAAUGCGUAGAUAUAUGGAAGAACACCAGUGGCGAAGGCGGCUCUCUGGUCUGCAACUGACGCUGUGGCUCGAAAGCAUGGGUAGCGAACAGG
rnacentral:rRNA from 1 species